UACGGAGGGGACUAGCGUUGUUCGGAAUUACUGGGCGUAAAGCGCACGUAGGCGGUUUUGUAAGUCAGGGGUGAAAUCCCGGGGCUCAACCUCGGAACUGCCUUUGAUACUGCAAAUCUCGAGUCCGGAAGAGGUGAGUGGAAUUCCGAGUGUAGAGGUGAAAUUCGUAGAUAUUCGGAGGAACACCAGUGGCGAAGGCGGCUCACUGGUCCGGUACUGACGCUGAGGUGCGAAAGCGUGGGGAGCAAACAGG
rnacentral:rRNA from 1 species